ACGAACGCUGGCGGCGUGCUUAACACAUGCCAGUCGAACGGAAAGGCCCCUUUGGGGGUCCUCGAGUGGCGAACGGGUGAGUAACACGUGAGUAACCUGCCCUUGACUUCGGGAUAACUUCAGGAAACUGGGGCUAAUACCGGAUAGGAAUCCUUGCUGCAUGGCGGGGGUUGGAAAGCUUCGGCGGUUUUGGAUGGACUCGCGGCUUAUCAGCUUGUUGGUGGGGUAGUGGCUUACCAAGGCUUUGACGGGUAGCCGGCCUGAGAGGGCGACCGGCCACAUUGGGACUGAGAUACGGCCCAGACUCCUACGGGAGGCAGCAGUGGGGAAUAUUGCACAAUGGGCGGAAGCCUGAUGCAGCAACGCCGCGUGCGGGAUGACGGCCUUCGGGUUGUAAACCGCUUUCAGCAGGGGCGAAGCUUGUGGUGACGGUACCUGCAGAAGAAGCACCGGCUAACUACGUG
rnacentral:rRNA from 1 species